AUUGAACGCUGGCGGCAUGCCUUACACAUGCAAGUCGAACGGCAGCACGGGAGCAAUCCUGGUGGCGAGUGGCGAACGGGUGAGUAAUAUAUCGGAACGUGCCCAGUCGUGGGGGAUAACGCAGCGAAAGUUGUGCUAAUACCGCAUACGAUCUAUGGAUGAAAGCGGGGGAUCGCAAGACCUCGCGCGAUUGGAGCGGCCGAUAUCAGAUUAGGUUGUCGGUGAGGUAAAAGCUCACCAAGCCUGCGAUCUGUAGCUGGUCUGAGAGGACGACCAGCCACACUGGAACUGAGACACGGUCCAGACUCCUACGGGAGGCAGCAGUGGGGAAUUUUGGACAAUGGACGAAAGUCUGAUCCAGCAAUGCCGCGUGCAGGACGAAGGCCUUCGGUUGUAACUAGACUUUGUACUAGAACGAAAAGUACUUAAUUAACACUACGAGGCUCAUGACGGUACUGUAAGAAUAAGACACCGGCUAACUACGUACG
rnacentral:rRNA from 1 species